UACAAUCGUUAUGGCCUUGCGAAUAGACCCAAAAGUGCUUCUCCGCUAAACCUAAUUGUCUCCUUCGUUCAUCUGAUUUUGACUUCGGCGGCGAGGAUGACGAUCCAUUGUUCUCUAUCUCCUGUAACGGAACUCUGACUUUAAUGGCAGUAAUACAGACGCCCAGUACGAGCCAUUCAAUCCGUCGUUUCCGGCGAAAUCUCUGCUAUAAAUAGGCGGUGAAACUUGAGUAUAAAAAGGUUGAAGUUAAGAAAGACAAUAUGCUGGAGUCCUCAAAGGAUCUCUUCUUUCUAACUUCAUCUCGUAUUUGAUACUACAAGCUGGUACAAAUCUGGAGGAUUUAGUUAUGAACUUUCUCCCAAGGUGGCUUAAUGUGAAGCUUAAUCUUUCUCCAAGCCCAGUUCUUGGAUUUCAUGGUUAUUUGCUUGAGGGAAAACUGGAUUCUCCAAAACUCUGGUCAGCAGAACAAGUUUCAAUCAGUUAAAUAGUUAUUUCAAAAAAGGUGAAAAAAAAUAAUGUGAUGACGACAACUUUGUGGAUCACAAAUGGCAAAGAAGAUCCCUCUCUGUGAUGGCAGGAAGAGUAUUUACUCAGCUGGGACACUGCCCUUAGAGAGAGAAGAUUUUUUUUUGGAUUUGAAUAACAAGAAGUUUCUGGUUCUUCAUCUAGGUAAUGCUUAUUAAUGUUUUUGUAGAUGGUUUUAUUUUUCCAAAGGUGGGAUCUGUACUCUUUUUACAGUUUUUAGUAAUGUGAAUCAUAUAUUCUUUUGGCAUGAGGGAAAUGCAACUCAAUUUUGCUAUAAAGCUGGUGAAGUUUGAUUUUUAUCAGUUA